AGCCAGGGGAGCGAAAGCUGAGAGUUCGGGCGUGCCCGAUGACCCUCAUUACCUGAUCCGGAUAAUGCCGGCGAAGGGAAGCGAUAUA
rnacentral:ncRNA from 1 species